AAGACAAUUGUUUUACAAUUUUUCUGUGCAUGCUUUUCAUCAGCAUUUCAGUUAUGCUUUGCCAAAAUCCUUACUUUUUUCGGCUCUCGUCAGAAUUGUGCCACCAGACUAGUGUUUUUCAAUCUUGACGUGGUAUAGUACUUUCUGUUUCUCCAGGGAACCCUCUAUCCACUUUCCUGUUGCAUCGAAAAGCCAGUAUCGUCGUUCAGCCAAGACAAAUAACCAGCGCAUCCAACGCCUGAUUGAUGCAAAGAAAUCCAUGUUGAGGACUACAGUUGACAAGCUCGACAAAAAAAACGAAAUGUAUGAGCAGGACAUGAAAAAGUACCAAAAAUACAGAGACAAGUAUACGAAAUUCUUAGAUCAGAAGGGUCCGUUGCUGCGAUAUUUCAAUGAAGUUGCAUCAAACUCCCCCAGCUGACUGUAC
rnacentral:lncRNA from 1 species